CCUACGGGUCGCACCAGUGGGGAAUAUUGCACAAUGGGCGCAAGCCUGAUGCAGCCAUGCCACGUGUAUGAAGAAGGCCUUCGGGUUGUAAAGUACUUUCAGCGGGGAGGAAGGCGAUAAGGUUAAUAACCUUGUCGAUAGACGUUACCCGCAGAAGAAGCACCGGCUAACUCCGUGCCAGCAGCCGCGGUAAUACGGAGGGUGCAAGCGUUAAUCGGAAUUACAGGGCGUAAAGCGCACGCAGGCGGUCUGUCAAGUCGGAUAUGAAAUCCCCGGGCUCAACCUGGGAACUGCAUUCGAAACUGGCAGGCUGGAGUCUUGUAGAGGGGGGUAGAAUUCCAGGUGUAGCGGUGAAAUGCAUAGAGAUCUGGAGGAAUACCGGUGGCGAAGGCGGCCCCCUGGACAAAGACUGACGCUCAGGUGCGAAAGCGUGGGGAGCAAACAGGAUUAGAUACCCGUGUAGUC
rnacentral:rRNA from 1 species